GAGACACGGUCCAGACACCUACGGGUGGCAGCAGUCGAGAAUCAUUCACAAUGGGGGAAACCCUGAUGGUGCGACGCCGCGUGGGGGAAUGAAGGUCUUCGGAUUGUAAACCCCUGUCAUGUGGGAGCAAAUUAAAAAGAUAGUACCACAAGAGGAAGAGACGGCUAACUCUGUGCCAGCAGCCGCGGUAAUACAGAGGUCUCAAGCGUUGUUCGGAAUCACUGGGCGUAAAGCGUGCGUAGGCGGUUUCGUAAGUCGUGUGUGAAAGGCGGGGGCUCAACCCCCGGACUGCACAUGAUACUGCGAGACUAGAGUAAUGGAGGGGGAACCGGAAUUCUCGGUGUAGCAGUGAAAUGCGUAGAUAUCGAGAGGAACACUCGUGGCGAAGGCGGGUUCCUGGACAUUAACUGACGCUGAGGCACGAAGGCCAGGGGAGCGAAAGGGAUUAGAUACCCCUGUAGUCCUGGCAGUAAACGGUGCACGCUUGGUGUGCGGGGAAUCGACCCCCUGCGUGCCGGAGCUAACGCGUUAAGCGUGCCGCCUGGGGAGUACGGUCGCAAGAUUAAAACUCAAAGAAAUUGACGGGGACCCGCACAAGCGGUGGAGUAUGUGGCUUAAUUCGAUGCAACGCGAAGAACCUUACCUGGGCUUGACAUGUAAUGAACAACAUGUGAAAGCAUGCGACUCUUCGGAGGCGUUACACAGGUGCUGCAUGGCCGUCGUCAGCUCGUGUCGUGAGAUGUUUGGUUAAGUCCAGCAACGAGCGCAACCCCUGUUGCCAGUUACCAGCACGUAAAGGUGGGGACUCUGGCGAGACUGCCCAGAUCAACUGGGAGGAAGGUGGGGACGACGUCAGGUCAGUAUGGCCCUUAUGCCCAGGGCUGCACACGUACUACAAUGCCCAGUACAGAGGGGGCCGAAGCCGCGAGGCGGAGGAAAUCCUAAAAACUGGGCCCAGUUCGGACUGUAGGCUGCAACCCGCCUACACGAAGCCGGAAUCGCUAGUAAUGGCGCAUCAGCUACGGCGCCGUGAAUACGUUCCCGGGUCUUGUACACACCGCCCGUCACAUCAUGGAAGCCGGUCGCACCCGAAGUAUCUGAAGCCAACCGCAAGGAGGCAGGGUCCUAAGGUGAGACUGGUAACUGGGAUGAAGUCGUAACAAGGUAGCCGUAGGGGAACCUGCGGCUG
rnacentral:rRNA from 1 species